CAGGCUCGCGGCUCUGCAGGGGGCAGGAGGAGGCACGACGCCGCCUCUCAGGAAGACCACGACAAACCUUACGUCUGUGACAUCUGUGGCAAGCGCUACAAGAACCGACCGGGGCUCAGCUACCACUAUGCUCACACUCACCUGGCCAGCGAGGAGGGGGAUGAAGCUCAAGACCAGGAGACUCGGUCCCCACCCAACCACAGAAAUGAGAACCACAGGCAAAGGACCGGAUGGAACAGUCAUUCCCAAUAACUACUGUGACUUCUGCUUGGGGGGCUCCAACAUGAACAAGAAGAGUGGGCGGCCUGAAGAGCUGGUGUCCUGCGCAGACUGUGGACGCUCUGGUGAGUGUGGCCCCUUCCCACACCGGGUGCCCGUAGACCAGGAAUGCUCCUCUUGCAUUCCUCUUCCAUCUUGUGGUGCUGGAGACUGGAGAGGGAAGCGAUGGUGGCAAUGCUUUCGAGUGGAGAGGAGUUUUCAGCUCAUUCUGAUAUUUUUCUUCUUUGGGUCUCAAGAACCAAAAGUUAUGCCCUAGGAUCCAGGGGAAAGGGCAAAGAGAAGU
rnacentral:sRNA from 1 species